GCGAGAUCCAACCCGCGCAGACACGGUAGCUAGGGCUCGGUUUCGUCGACUUGGAUGCGAAAGGAGAGCUUCGGGGUUGGUUUGAGGGUUUUAUAGGGGCAUGACCCGCGGAUUGGGAAGGAAUACCGAGGAAACCGGGAUUUCCUGUUCGUUCGGUCUCCGGUUCUGUUACGGUGGAGAAGAAGAACAGGGCGCUGACAGGUGGGCCCGGGGUGUCAGCGGCAGAAGAGAAAAGG
rnacentral:lncRNA from 1 species